rnacentral:rRNA from 1 species
GGACGAACCUCUGGUAUGUCAGUUGUACCGCCAGGUGCAUGGCUGAUUGGCUACGUUCGGGAGGGAUAACCGCUGAAAGCAUCUAAGCGGGAAGCUUGUUUCGUGAUGAGUUCUCCUGGCACCCUUUGGGUGUGUGAGGUUCCCUGUAGAUGACGGGGUUGAUAGGCCGGGUAUGGAAGCGCUGUAAGGUGUGGAGUUGACUGGUACUAAUAGACCGAAGGCUUACA